UACGGAGGGUGCAAGCGUUGUCCGGAAUCACUGGGCGUAAAGGGCGCGUAGGCGGCUCAUGAAGGCUGUGGUGAAAGUCCGGGGCUCAACCUCGGAUCGGCCGUGGCGACUCGUGGGCUGGAGCACUGUAGAGGCGGGUGGAAUUCCGGGUGUAGCGGUGGAAUGCGUAGAGAUCCGGAAGAACACCAGUGGCGAAGGCGGCCCGCUGGGCAGUGGCUGACGCUGAGGCGCGACAGGCGUGGGGAGCA
rnacentral:rRNA from 1 species